GCCUACGGGUGGCUGCAGUGGGGAAUUUUGGACAAUGGGGGCAACCCUGAUCCAGCCAUGCCGCGUGAGUGAAGAAGGCCUUCGGGUUGUAAAGCUCUUUCGGCCGGGAAGAAAUCGCACAGGCUAAUACCUUGUGUGGAUGACGGUACCGGAAUAAGAAGCACCGGCUAACUACGUGCCAGCAGCCGCGGUAAUACGUAGGGUGCGAGCGUUAAUCGGAAUUACUGGGCGUAAAGCGUGCGCAGGCGGUUUUUUAAGAUAGGCGUGAAAUCCCCGGGCUUAACCUGGGAACUGCGCUUAUGACUGGAAGACUAGAGUACGGCAGAGGGGGGUGGAAUUCCACGUGUAGCAGUGAAAUGCGUAGAGAUGUGGAGGAACACCGAUGGCGAAGGCAGCCCCCUGGGCCGAUACUGACGCUCAUGCACGAAAGCGUGGGGAGCAAACAGGAUUAGAUACCCCGGUAGUCCG
rnacentral:rRNA from 1 species